UGAAAACGUCAUUGAGCAGCAGAGCAAUGGACAUGCAGCCUCAGGCAAUUGAUCCAACUAUGUUAAUGAUUUUGUGAGUGGCAGUAAGGUACAUCCAGCUCUCCGGCAAAGCAAAGUUUGUUCUUUUACUGCAAACUAGAGAAUGUACUGUUUACUAGAGGCUAAGGCCUGGAUUUUGUGGUAGGAAUGCCAUGUUCAAAGCAAGUUUACUGUGAAAUAGAAAACAACCUUGGUCCUUCAAAACAGAGAUCGAUAUAUUUCUGAAUAUUUGAGAAGUCUGAGGAUAAGGCGAGAAAAUGAUGUUUGGGACAAAACAUUCACUACUAUCAGCUUACGAACCGUUUCAUAGGAACGCCCUACCUUCGGAUGGCAGGGGAAACCUGUAACCCAGCUCAGCACCAUACAGAUGCCGCAAAGCAGCAUAUUUCAAAGCAUACAGAGAGGAGGUGCAGCAGUUAACGGACUGGUGCAGAGCCAACAACCUGUCUCUGAAUGUGAA